UACGUAGGGUGCAAGCGUUGUCCGGAAUUAUUGGGCGUAAAGAGCGCGUAGGCGGUCCGAUAAGUCGGCUGUGAAAGUCAGGGGCUCAACCCUUGAAAGCCGGCCGAUACUGUCGGACUAGAGUCCGGAAGAGGCAAGUGGAAUUCCCGGUGUAGCGGUGAAAUGCGCAGGUAUCGGGAGGAACACCAAUGGCGAAGGCAGCUUGCUGGGACGGUACUGACGCUGAGGCGCGAAAGCGUGGGGAGCAAACAGG
rnacentral:rRNA from 1 species